UACGAAGGGGGCUAGCGUUGCUCGGAAUGACUGGGCGUAAAGGGCGCGUAGGCGGCUGUUCAAGUCGGGGGUGAAAUCCCGUGGCUCAACCACGGAAUGGCCUUCGAUACUGGACGGCUCGAGACCGGAAGAGGUGAGUGGAACUGCGAGUGUAGAGGUGAAAUUCGUAGAUAUUCGCAAGAACACCAGUGGCGAAGGCGGCUCACUGGUCCGGUUCUGACGCUGAGGCGCGAAAGCGUGGGGAGCAAACAGG
rnacentral:rRNA from 1 species